rnacentral:rRNA from 1 species
UACGGGGGGGGCAAGCGUUGUUCGGAAUUACUGGGCGUAAAGGGCUCGUAGGCGGCCAACUAAGUCCGACGUGAAAUCCCCAGGCUUAACCUGGGAACUGCGCCGGAUACUGGAUGGCUUGAAUCCGGGAGAGGGAUGCGGAAUUCCAGGUGUAGCGGUGAAAUGCGUAGAUAUCUGGAGGAACACCGGUGGCGAAGGCGGCAUCCUGGACCGGCAUUGACGCUGAGGAGCGAAAGCCAGGGGAGCAAACGGG